CAUUGAGGUGUUGGAACAUUGGCUCAGUGUUGGCAGGUUGGGUCCAGUAUGGCUAUAUUCUGGCUCGCCCGUUCCAAGCUAGGAGUUGGGUCAUGUAGCUCGGGCGAAGGCCUGGGUUUCAUGCUCCUUAGAGCGGAGGGAACCGCGUAAGGCUGGUUUCACAGAGCAACGAAUACCUCCCGCUCUUGGCGGUGGAAGGAUAAUGGGUCGGUG
rnacentral:SRP_RNA from 1 species